rnacentral:rRNA from 1 species
UACGUAGGUGGCAAGCGUUGUCCGGAUUUACUGGGCGUAAAGAGCGCGCAGGCGGUCGUUCAAGUCGCGUGUGAAAGCCCCCGGCUCAACUGGGGAGGGUCACGCGAUACUGAUCGACUCGAAGGCAGGAGAGGGUAGUGGAAUUCCCGGUGUAGUGGUGAAAUGCGUAGAUAUCGGGAGGAACACCAGUGGCGAAGGCGGCAUCCUGGACCGGGAUUGACACUGAGGCGCGAAAGCCAGGGGAGCAAACGGG